GUUGGAGUAGCUCAGUUGGUUAGAGCAUGUGGCUUUUCAACCACAGGGUCGACGGUUCAACCCCUUCCUCCGACA
rnacentral:tRNA from 1 species